ensembl:lncRNA novel transcript
UAGGCAUGUCAGCUCUAGGAUAAAGACCAGACAAGAAGGUCUCCAGGGCUGGGGAGGUGAGAGAAAGGGAAGGAGGAGAGGAACAAAGUAGGGAAGGAGGAGGGCAACAAAGUUUUAGGCAUUUUAUGCAGCAGGGGCUUAGGGACAGCUAUCUGAAAUGUGUCUUAGGGGAACAAGGGAGUGUGCCUUUUCCCUUUUUUGAAUUAUGCAUUCAUUUUGGGUGGCUUGCUGAGCAGUUGGUAGCUUGUAUCAGUAAAAGUAGAGCUAAAGCUGCUCUAAGGUGUUGUGAAAGGAAAAUAAAUCUCAGGACCCCAAAGUCACUAAGCCCGGGGAAGAGUCAAGCUGGGAAUUAUGUCAAGCAAACCUGCCUCCCAUUUUAUUCCUAAGUAAGAUAGCUACAAAGAUAAAAAGCUACAUACCUCCCUCAUAAUUUGUCACAAGGAAAUUUCUUGUGGGAUUCAAGAUCUUUACCCUAAAAGAGCUCUGUUUAAUUUCACCCUGGCAAUGUAAACUGAUAGCUUAUCUUCAUAGGUACCAGAAAACAGACAGAACUCAAAGUUAUAGCUCCGCUCACCUGAGACAAAUGCAUAUCUGAUCACGUCCUCUGCCUUAUUGUUUAUGUAAAAAUGCAGAUUCACAAAGCCAGACUAAGGCAUAAGUGAUUACUCCUCUAUCCACCUCUCACAUGUAAAUUGUGUAUUCAGUGAAAGACUAAUCAGAGACUCAAAAGAAUGCAACCAUUUUUCUUUUAUCUACCUAUGACCUAGAAGCCCCCUUCUUUGACUUCGAGUAGCCCGGCCUUUCUGGACUGAACCAAUGUACAUCUUACGUAUAUUGAUUGAUAUCUCAUGUCUCCCUAAAAUGUAGUAUAAAAUCAAGCUGUGCCCCAACCACCUUGAAAACAUGUUGUCAGAACUCCUAAGGCUGUGUCACAGGCACGAACUUAAACUUGGCAAAAUAAACUUUCUAAAUUUAUUGAGAUCUCUCUCAGAUACUUUUGGUUCACAGUGUCAUGAGAGUGACUCCUUCCCUGGGCCAGGCAGGAAACCGAGGAAGCUAAUGAGAUGGGACCAAGGAGGAGGGUCUGGAGUUUUGAGAAGGGGCUGCCAGGUUCCAAACUGUGUCAGAUUCAGUGCCUUUUUCCUGAGAAUCAGCUGAGUCAGUGGCUGCUAUGGGCUGUCCGAGAUUGUACUCAGAACCUUCCCUCAAGGGCACUGUGGCUGCUAGGGGUAGAGAUGUGUGCUGGACAGAGCCCACAUGUAGGAGCUAUAAGCACAAGACAUCCUCUCCCCACAAAGCCCUAGCCUAGUGUUAGGCCUCUGAGCCCAAGCCUGCACGUAUACGUCCAGAUGGCCUGAAGCAAGUGAAGAAUCACAAAAGAAGUGAAAAUGGCUGGUUCCUCCCUUAACUGGUGACAUUACCUUGUGAAAUUCCUUCUCCUGGCUCAUCCUGGCUCAAAAGCUCCCCCACUGAGCACCUUGUGACCCCCACCCCAGCCAGCCAGAGAACAACCCCCUUUGACUGUAAUUUUCCACUACCUACCCAAAUCCUGUAAAACAGCCCCACCCCUGUCUCCCUUCUCUGACUCUCUUUUCGGACACAGCCCGCCGGCAGCCAGGUGAUUAGAAAGCUUUAUUGCUCACACAAAGCCUGUUUGGUGGUCUCUUCAUACAGACGCAUCUGAAAUUUGGUGCCAUGACUCGAAUCGGGGGACCUCCCUUGGAAGAUCAAUCCCCUGUCCUCCUGCUCUUUACUCCAUGAGAAAGAUCCACCUACAACCUCUGGUCCUCAGGCCAACCAGCCCAAGGAACAUCUCACCAAUUUUAUAUCCGGUACCCACUGGAAAUUGGACUCUCCAACUCACCCGGCAGCCACUCCCAGAGCCACUGGAACUCUGGCCCAACGCUCUCUGACUGACUCCUUCCCAGAUCAUCUCAGCUUAGCGGCUGAAGAUUGAUGCUGCCCAAUCACCUCAGAAGCUUCCUGGACCAUCACAUACGCUUUGGGUAACUCUUACAGUGGAGGGUAAGUCCGUCCCCUUCUUAAUCAAUACGGAGGCUACCCACUCCACAUUACCUUCUUUUCAAGGGCCUAUUUCCCUUGCCCCAUGACUGUUAUGGUUAUUGAUGGCCAGGCUUCUAAACCUCUUAAAACUCCCCAACUCUGGUGCCAACUUGGACAAUAUUCUUUUAUGCACUCCUUUUUAGUUAUCCCCACCUGCCCAGUUCCCUUAUUAGGCUGAGACAUUUUAACUAAAUUAUCUGCUUCCCUGACUAUUCCUAGGCUACAGCCACACCUCAUUGCCACCCUUUUCCCCAGUUCAAACACUCCUUCACAUCCUCCCCUUGUAUCUCACCACCUUAAUCCACAAGUAUAGGACACCUCUACUCCAUCCAUGGUGACCGAUCAUGCACCCCUUAUCAUUCCAUUAAAACCUAAUCACCCUUACCCAACUCAACGCCAAUAUCCCAUCCCACAGCAGCCUUUAAAAGGAGUAAAGCCUGUUAUCACUUGCCUGUUACAGUGUGGCCUUUUAAAGCCUAUAAACUCUCCUUACAAUCCCCCCAUUUUACCUAUCCAAAAACCAGACAAGUCUUACAGGUUAGUUCAGGAUCUGCACCUUAUCAACCAAAUUAUCUUGCCUAUCCACCCCAUGGUGCCAAACCCAUAUACUCUCCUAUCCUCAAUACCUCCCUCCACAACCCAUUAUUCUGUUCUGUGUGGCAAACAUGCUUUCUUUACUAUUCCUUUGCACCCUUCAUCCCAGCCUGUCUUCGCUUUCACUUGGACUGACCCUGACACCAUCAGGCUCGGCAAAUUACCUGGGCUGUACUGCCACAAGGCUUCACAGACAGCCCCCAUUACUUCAGUCAAGCCCGAAUUUCUUAAUCUGUUACCUAUCUCGGCAUAAUUCUUCAUAAAAACACAGGUGCUCUCCCUGCCGAUCCUGUCCAACUGAUCUCUCAAACCCCAACCCCUUCUACAAAACAACAACUCCUUUCCUUCCUGGGCAUGGUUGGAUACUUUUACCUUUGGAUACCUGGUUUUGCCAUCCUAACAAAACCAUUAUGUAAACUCACAAAAGAAAACCUAGCUGAUGCCAUAGAUCCUAAAUCCUUUUCCCACUCCUCUUUCCGUUCCUUGAAGACAGCAUUAGAGAAUGCUUCCACACUAGCUCUCCCUGACUCAUCCCAACCCUUUUUCAUUACACACAGCCGAAGUGCAGGGCUGUGUGGUCGAAAUUCUUACACAAGGACUGGGACCGCUCCCUGUGGCCUUUUUAUCCAAACAACUUGAGCUUACUGUUUUAGCCUAGCCCUCAUGUCUGCAUGCGGCAGCUGCCUCUGUUUUAAUACUUUUAGAGGCCCUCAAAAUCACAAACUGUGCUCAACUCACUCUCUACAGUUCUCAUAACUUCCAAAAUCUAUUUUCUUCCUCACACCAGAUGCACAUACUUUCUGCCCCCCUCCACUACCUCUCAGCAAGCCGAACUCAUUGCCUUAACUAGAGCCCUCACUCUUGCAAAAGGACUACGCAUCAAUAUUUAUACUGACUCUAAAUAUGCCUUCUAUAUUCUGCACCACCAUGCUGUUAUAAGGGCAGAAAGAGGUUUCCUCACUACGCAAGGGUCCUCCAUCAUUAAUUCCUCUUUAAUAAAAACUCUUCUCAAGGCUGCUUUACUUCCAAAGGAAGCUGGAGUCAUUCACUGCAAGGGCCGUCAAAAGGCGUCAGAUCCCAUCGCUCAGGGCAACGCUUAUGCUGAUAAGGUAGCUAAAAAAGCAGCUAGAGUACAACUUCGUCCCUCAAGGCCAGUUUUUCUCCUUCUCAUCGGUCACUCCUACCUACUCCCCUACUGAAACUUCCACCUAUCAAUCUCUUCCCACACAAGGCAAAUGGUUCUUGAACCAAGGAAAAUAUCUCCUUCCUGGUGGGUGCCUGUAAUCCCAGCUACUCAGGAGGCUGAGACAGGAGAAUCCCUUGAACUCAGUAGGCUGAGGUUGCAGUGAGCCAAGAUCAUGCCACUGCACUCCAGCAUGGGUUACAGGAGCAAGACUCUGUCUCAAAAAAAUAAAUAAAUAA